UAAAAUAUACGGGACUUGGCCACUCUGUUAAAAUCAUGUUACAAUUCCGUUAAUCCGGUUUUGAAUUUCAUCUUAUUCUGUGGUAUAAUGCAGUUUUACCUCUUCAGGUAAAGUGCCAUUUCCGGUUGGUAGAUUUGGUCUAAAAGUUGUUUACGAGCUUUCGAUUUUGGUUUAAUAGCUAUAUACCAAAUGUCAUUACGGCAACUGAUUGCGUUUUUAAGUUAUCGUGUUUACACAAUACAUAUACAUACAUACGUACGUACAUGCUGAAAAUGGUUAAUAUGGACUCAGGGGACCUCAAAAUGUAUAUCCAUCAAAAUGUCGAGGUCGAAUUUUUGCACGAUUACAAUACUUUGUCUCAUAUACAGGCGACUAGCCGGCGCAGCGUCGACGCGAGUCGGUUAUUUCAAGUUAGUGCAGCUCAUAGUGUUUAUAAUUCUCAUUCUCCCAGAUCCCAUAGAACAAUUGUGUGGUUUACUUACCUUACUUCACACAAUUUCAAAUGCUUGCGAUAGUACUGUGCUAUUACGGUGCAACAAAGCAUAAAGUUUGGUUGGUUUGUGUAUUAAUUAUACCUUUUCCCAGACGAUGAAGCUAGUGUUCCUCUCACCAAAGAGACGGUGUUAACCUGAUUGGAGGUGAUGAACAACUCACUCCAAACAUCCGAAUGGACGGUUCUGAAUACCACCAGAUCCAGACCGGGGCAAACGUGGACCUUCGCGGUUGACGAAGUGUCUUGCAAAACCCGGCCGAGGUGCGAUUUCUGUACGUGCCGGGGUGUUCAGUCGGGGGCGUCGUGCAGGUGCUGCACCACGGGAGAGUGGAGGAAGCGGAAAAUCCUCCACUCCUGCCCGAAGCUCGAGAGGGUGCGCUGGAGUGAGAGGGGCCGGUGAGACGGCUGCUCCAUCCCAAGCGAGAAGCAAAGCUGCAGCACGCUAGGGCGGCUACGGCUGUCCUUAGCAGAACCUGGAUGAGUGAGCGAAUUGAUAUUGCCCUCAUCCAGGAACCAUGGCUCGCCAAUACCGGGCGCAUCAGCGGACUCGGUAAUUUAUCCGAGCAUAGCGACCGCGAUUGUGUGGCUGCAGUUCUGAGAAUCCAAGGUGAGAAGGGCUGGACAGAAAUUGUCCCCGGUCGCUGUGCGAGACAUAAUGGCCUACAGCCGGAGGAAUAACCUACAAGUUGUUGUUGGAUGUGACGCCAAUGCCCACCACACAAAUGAAAGAGGUGAGUUGCUUUUUGACUACCUAUUAGGGGAGGGGCUUACUGUUAAUAAUGUAGGCGCCAAACCAACCUUUGUUACCAGAAAUAGAGCAAAGGUACUUGACAUUACGUUCAGCUCAAUUAUAUUAAACUCCAAGAUAAUCUCCUGGAGGGUAUC